CAGCCUCAUUGGAUCCGAUCCAACUGCCUAGUGAAGUACUGUGAAUACCUCAUUCGGACUGACUGGUGGAUGCGGUUUUUGGGAUGCAUGCGGAAGGAGGCACUCAAUACUGUGGAAUUUUCUUUCACAGUUUUACUUAAUGGUACACAGCUGAUUUUAAUGCAAUUGGAUGAUCUUGGACUUUGGAUAAAAGCUUGUUGUAUUGCCCUUGAUGAAGCUCAACGAGCGAAACAUGUCGGGCCCCUUCCAACAGGUUCCUCUGCGACUUUUUAGUCGCUAUUACCAUUCAUG